GUGAAGGCUGCAGAAGAGAUUGCAAGAUGAAAGCUUCGUUAUUUGCGUUGUUGUUGGUGGCAUUCAUGGGCAAGGACCCAGCAGGUGACAUAAAAUUAUCCGAGCAUGGGAUGGAAGGAAAACCUCACUCUCUCCUGCAUGGACAGUGUUACUGACCUGAUUAGGAAAACUCUGCCGGGACACAUCAAGCAUAGAAACAACAACCAGAACAGAACCAUUUAAGCAGGGUGUUCUUUUGCCUGCUAUCUACUGAACAUCUUGGUCAUAAACCUCAGCUUAUCAAACCGAUUUCCCUUUGUGUAAUGGGUAGCAUGUGAUCGCACACCCCUACCCCUCCCUUCUUUCUGAAGUCUCCAAGCUCUUCUCUCUUGAACCUCCAUCUCCAGUCCCCACAAGGUGGGGCAGUGGCAUAUAUAUAGAACUUCCUUCUCCCAUCCCGGACUGCACUUUGAAGGCUGCAGAACAGAUUGCAAGAUGAAAGCUUUGUUGUUUGCAUUGUUGUUGGUGGCAUUCAUGGGCAAGGAGCCAGUCACGAGUCUACAAUGUUACACGUGCGGUGAAUUUUUUUGCAAUGUGAAAUUACCAUGUUCGAAAGAAGAAACGUUCUGUUAUACUGUGCAUAAUACUUAUGCUGUCCAAAAAGUCAAAGGAUGUGCUCGAAAGUGCCCUAAACCCGUCGAAGGAAAGCCGGUUGAAUGUUGCAGAACUGACUUUUGCAACUAGCUUUAUUAAAAUAUCCUUCUGAGUUUUGCUGCCAUCCAUCAGGGACCAUCCUUUGCAGAUUUAGGCUUGUGGCCUUUACGGUCCAUAAUUCACUCCCUCGGCUUUUUUUUUUUUUUUUUGACACCUCGCCUUCUCUCCCUUUUCUCCUGGCCUACAAGAUUUGUUCUGCUCUUUCUGUAGUUUGGUAACGGAAUAAAUUUCUGCAUUUAAAUUCAA